GGCCAGACUCCUACGGGAGGCAGCAGUGGGGAAUAUUGCACAAUGGGGGAAACCCUGAUGCAGCGACGCCGCGUGAGUGAAGAAGUAUUUCGGUAUGUAAAGCUCUAUCAGCAGGGAAGAAAAUGACGGUACCUGACUAAGAAGCCCCGGCUAACUACGUGCCAGCAGCCGCGGUAAUACGUAGGGGGCAAGCGUUAUCCGGAUUUACUGGGUGUAAAGGGAGCGUAGACGGCAUGGCAAGUCAGAUGUGAAAGCCCGGGGCCCAACCCCGGGACUGCAUUUGAAACUGUCAGGCUGGAGUGCAGGAGAGGUAAGUGGAAUUCCUAGUGUAGCGGUGAAAUGCGUAGAUAUUAGGAGGAACACCAGUGGCGAAGGCGGCUUACUGGACUGUAACUGACGUUGAGGCUCGAAAGCGUGGGGAGCAAACAGGAUUAGAUACCCGAGUACG
rnacentral:rRNA from 1 species